CCCAUUAAGCCUACAGGUCCCAUUGAGAACAGUGUUCCUUUGAAACCAUCAGGGUCCCUGCACACUACGCAGGGGUGCGGGAUGCUGUCCAACACAAAUAAUGAGAGGACACAUGACCGCUUCUGUGGAAACGGCAGCCCUCGGGGACCUGUGCGUGCGUGUGUUUUAUGAUGAGGCUGUGAAGAUUAAUUGAAGAAGACGAUGAUGCAGUUGAUGUAAACAGUUACCCGAGAGCAAAUAUCAGCUAUUGUUUUGAAUAAGGAGUACCGGGAUGUUCUUAGACAGGUAACCGCAGUAGUGGAG